GAUGAACGCUGGCGGCGUGCCUAAUACAUGCAAGUCGAGCGAACAGACGAGGAGCUUGCUCCUCUGACGUUAGCGGCGGACGGGUGAGUAACACGUUGAUAACCUACCUAUAAAACUUGGAUAACUUCGGGAAACCGGAGCUAAAACCGGAUAAUAUAUUUAACCGCAUGGGUCAAUAGUGGAAGAGGGGUUUGGUGUCCCUUAUAGAUAGCUCCGCGCGGCAUUUGCUAGUUGGUAAGGUAACGGCUUACCAAGGCAACGAUGCGUAGCCGACCUGAGAGGGUGUUCGCCAACACUGGACCUGAGCCACGGUCCAGACUCCUACGGGAGGCAGCAGUAGGGAAUCUUCCGCAAUGGGCGAAGGCCUGACGGAGCAACGCCGCGUGAGGGAUGAAGGUCUUCGGAUCGUAAAACUCUGUUAUUAGGGAAGACCAAAUGUGUAAGUAACUAUGCACGUCUUGACGGUACCUAAUCAGAAAGCCACGGCUAACUACGUG
rnacentral:rRNA from 1 species